CAGAAGGUAAAAGGGUAUGUCAUCUCUACACUCAUAUUCUUCUCCUGUUAUUAUACUUUAAAAUUUUCUUCCAAAGUUUUUUUUUUUUUUUACACACAGACAAUGUUUUCUUAAAAUCAUGAAUUUUUUUAAAUAUAAGUGCGUAUCGGCCUAUGGCCAGUUUCUUUUCUUCUUUUUCCACCAUUUUUUUAAACACAAAAAAAAUACACAAAAUAUUUAAAACCAAAAGGUCA
rnacentral:lncRNA from 1 species